rnacentral:rRNA from 1 species
ACGGAAGGCAGCAGUGGGGCAUAUUUGGCAAUGGGCGAAAGCCUGACCCAGCAACGCCGCGUGAAGGAAGAAGGCCUUCGGGUUGUAAACUUCUUUUACCAGGGACGAAGGACGUGACGGUACCUGGAGAAAAAGCAACGGCUAACUACGUGCCAGCAGCCGCGGUAAUACGUAGGUUGCAAGCGUUGUCCGGAUUUACUGGGUGUAAAGGGCGUGUAGGCGGAGCUGCAAGUCAGAUGUGAAAUCCCGGGGCGCAACCCCGGAACUGCAUUUGAACCUGUAGCCCUUGAGUAUCGGAGAGGCAAGCGGAAUUCCUAGUGUAGCGGUGAAAUGCGUAGAUAUUAGGAGGAACACCAGUGGCGAAGGCGGCUUGCUGGACGACAACUGACGCUGAGGCGCGAAAGCGUGGGGAGCAAACAGGAUUAGAUACCCUGGUA